rnacentral:rRNA from 1 species
AUUGAACGCUGGCGGCAGGCUUAACACAUGCAAGUCGAGCGGAGAUGAGGUGCUUGCACCUUAUCUUAGCGGCGGACGGGUGAGUAAUGCUUAGGAAUCUGCCUAUUAGUGGGGGACAACAUUCCGAAAGGAAUGCUAAUACCGCAUACGCCCUACGGGGGAAAGCAGGGGAUCUUCGGACCUUGCGCUAAUAGAUGAGCCUAAGUCGGAUUAGCUAGUUGGUGGGGUAAAGGCCUACCAAGGCGACGAUCUGUAGCGGGUCUGAGAGGAUGAUCCGCCACACUGGGACUGAGACACAGCCCAGGCUCCUACGGGAGGCAGCAGUGGGGAAUAUUGGACAAUGGGCGGAAGCCUGAUCCAGCCAUGCCGCGUGUGUGAAGAAGGCCUUUUGGUUGUAAAGCACUUUAAGCGAGGAGGAGGCUACUAGUACUAAUACUACUGGAUAGUGGACGUUACUCGCAGAAUAAGCACCGGCUAACUCUGUGCCAGCAGCCGCCGUAAGAC